rnacentral:rRNA from 1 species
GACGAACGCUGGCGGCGUGCUUAACACAUGCAAGUCGAACGGAAAGGCCCUGCUUUUGUGGGGUGCUCGAGUGGCGAACGGGUGAGUAACACGUGAGUAACCUGCCCUUGACUUUGGGAUAACUUCAGGAAACUGGGGCUAAUACCGGAUAGGAGCUCCUGCUGCAUGGUGGGGGUUGGAACGUUUCGGCGGUUGGGGAUGGACUCGGGGCUUAUGAGCUUGUUGGUGGGGUAGUGGCUUACCAAGCGUUUGACGGGUAGCCGGCCUGGGAGGGUGACCGGCCACAUUGGGACUGCGAGACGGCCCAGACUCGUACGGGAGGCAGCAGGGGGGAAUAUUGCACAAUGGGCGGGAGCCUGAUGCAGCAACGCCGCGUGCGGGAUGACGGCCUUCGGGUUGUAAACCGCUUUCGCCUGUGACGAAGCGUGAGUGACGGUAAUGGGUAAAGAAGCACCGGCUAACUACGUG